rnacentral:rRNA from 1 species
AUACAGAGGGUGCGAGCGUUAAUCGGAAUUACUGGGCGUAAAGCGCGCGUAGGCGGCUUUGUAAGUCGGAUGUGAAAGCCCUGGGCUCAACCUGGGAAUGGCAUUCGAUACUGCAUAACUAGAGUAUGGUAGAGGGAAGUGGAAUUUCCGGUGUAGCGGUGAAAUGCGUAGAUAUCGGAAGGAACACCAGUGGCGAAGGCGACUUCCUGGGCCAAUACUGACGCUGAGGUGCGAAAGCGUGGGGAGCAAACAGGAUUAGAAACCCCGGUAGUCC